rnacentral:rRNA from 1 species
UGGUGGCGACCGGCGCACGGGUGCGUAACGCGUAUGCAACCUACCUUUAACAGGGGGAUAACACUGAGAAAUUGGUACUAAUACCCCAUAAUAUCAUAGAAGGCAUCUUUUAUGGUUGAAAAUUCCGAUGGUUAGAGAUGGGCAUGCGUUGUAUUAGCUAGUUGGUGGGGUAACGGCUCACCAAGGCGACGAUACAUAGGGGGACUGAGAGGUUAACCCCCCACACUGGUACUGAGACACGGACCAGACUCCUACGGGAGGCAGCAGUGAGGAAUAUUGGUCAAUGGACGCAAGUCUGAACCAGCCAUGCCGCGUGCAGGAUGACGGCUCUAUGAGUUGUAAACUGCUUUUGUACGAGGGUAAACGCAGAUACGUGUAUCUGUCUGAAAGUAUCGUACGAAUAAGGAUCGG